AACCAUCAGAAGAAUUACAACAUAACUGUUUAGAAGUAAUUGAGACCCAAAUCAAGAAACAGCUGUGAGAACUGCUGAAAAAGGAUGGACGCACGUGUCGCGAAUAAAAGGUCCAGUGAAGGAGUGGAAAAUGACAUCUGAGCCAGGAGAAACUAAA